rnacentral:rRNA from 1 species
ACCACGGGACACGUGAAACCCUGUGGGAAGCAGGAGGGACCACCCUCCAAGGCUAAAUACUACCUAGUGACCGAGAGCGUAUAGUACCGUGAGGGAAAGGGGAAAAGAACCCCGGGAGGGGAGGGAAAUAGAACCUGAAACCCUGCACUUACAAGCUGUGGAAGCACAUUGCUUGUGUGACCGCGUACUUUUUGUAGAACGGGCCAACGAGUUACGUUAAGUAGCAAGGUUAAGCACUUAAGGUG